GAUGAACGCUGGCGGCGUGCAUAACACAUGCAAGUCGAACGGUGAAGCAGGAGCUUGCUCUUGUGGAUCAGUGGCGAACGGGUGAGUAACACGUGAGCAACCUGCCCCUGACUCUGGGAUAAGCGCUGGAAACGGCGUCUAAUACUGGAUAUGUGAUGUGACCGCAUGGUCUGCAUCUGGAAAGAAUUUCGGUUGGGGAUGGGCUCGCGGCCUAUCAGCUUGUUUGUGAGGUAAUGGCUCACCAAGGCGUCGACGGGUAGCCGGCCUGAGAGGGUGACCGGCCACACUGGGACUGAGACACGGCCCAGACUCCUACGGGAGGCAGCAGUGGGGAAUAUUGCACAAUGGGCGGAAGCCUGAUGCAGCAACGCCGCGUGAGGGAUGACGGCCUUCGGGUUGUAAACCUCUUUUAGCAGGGAAGAAGCGAAAGUGACGGUACCUGCAGAAAAAGCACCGGCUAACUACGUGCCAGCAGCCGCCGCGG
rnacentral:rRNA from 1 species